rnacentral:misc_RNA from 1 species
UUCGCAAAUGCUUGGGUGGAUUGCUCAGCCUAGGGUUUGGCCUAGACCUUCUCCUCUCACCCCUAGGUUUCCUAUCCCCCUCCCUUUUCUCCUCCUGAAUCUCCACAUUUUGAAUCUCAACAACACUACUAUUGUCGGUCUUUGUCACUGAAACAUUGUCUAAUUUUCUUCUAGAUUCAACACUCAGGUUCUUGACCUCUUUAGACUCUGAAACAAUGCCAGAGGCUACCUCUUUACCAAGAAC